rnacentral:rRNA from 1 species
UAACGCGUGGGCAACCUGCCUCAUACAGGGGGAUAACAGUUAGAAAUGACUGCUAAUACCGCAUAAGACCGCGGUGCCGCAUGGCACAGCGGUAAAAACUCCGGUGGUAUGAGAUGGGCCCGCGUCUGAUUAGCUAGUUGGCGGGGUAACGGCCCACCAAGGCGACGAUCAGUAGCCGACCUGAGAGGGCGACCGGCCACAUUGGGACUGAGACACGGCCCAAACUCCUACGGGAGGCAGCAGUGGGGAAUAUUGCACAAUGGGGGAAACCCUGAUGCAGCGACGCCGCGUGAGCGAUGAAGUAUUUCGGUAUGUAAAGCUCUAUCAGCAGGGAAGAAGAUGACGGUACCUGACUAAGAAGCCCCGGCUAACUACGUGCCAGCAGCCGCGGUAAUACGUAGGGGGCAAGCGUUAUCCGGAUUUACUGGGUGUAAAGGGAGCGUAGACGGCGAUGCAAGCCAGAUGUGAAAGCCCGGGGCUCAACCCCGGGACUGCAUUUGGAACUGUGUGGCUGGAGUGUCGGAGAGGCAGGCGGAAUUCCUAGUGUAGCGGUGAAAUGCGUAGAUAUUAGGAGGAACACCAGUGGCGAAGGCGGCCUGCUGGACGAUGACUGACGUUGAGGCUCGAAAGCGUGGGGAGCAAACAGGAUUAGAUACCCUGGUAGUCCACGCCGUAAACGAUGACUACUAGGUGU